UACGUAGGGGGCAAGCGUUGUCCGGAUUUAUUGGGCGUAAAGAGCGUGUAGGCGGCCUGACAGGUCUGCUGUGAAAACUCGAGGCUCAACCUCGAGAUGUCGGCGGAAACCGUCUGGCUAGAGUCCGGAAGAGGAGAGUGGAAUUCCUGGUGUAGCGGUGAAAUGCGCAGAUAUCAGGAAGAACACCUAUGGCGAAGGCAGCUCUCUGGGACGGUACUGACGCUGAGGCACGAAAGCGUGGGGAGCAAACAGG
rnacentral:rRNA from 1 species